GAUGAAGAACGCAGCGAAACGCGAUAAGUAAUGUGAAUUGCAGAAUUCAGUGAAUCAUCGAAUCUUUGAACGCACAUUGCGCCCGCCAGUAUUCUGGCGGGCAUGCCUGUUCGAGCGUCAUUUCCACCAUCAGGCCCCCGGGCCUGUGUUGGGGACCUGCGGCUGCCCGCAGGCCCCGAAAUUCAGUGGCGGUCGCGCCGUAGCAACCGAGCGUAGUAACUAAAACGUCUCGCUCUGGCUCGCUGGGCGCGCUCCGGCCGUAAAACACCCCCCCUUUUCGCAAAGGUUGACCUCGGAUCAGGUAGGAAUACCCGCUGAACUUAAGCAUAUCAAUAAGCGGAGGA
rnacentral:misc_RNA from 1 species